rnacentral:rRNA from 1 species
UACGUAGGGGGCAAGCGUUGUCCGGAUUUACUGGGCGUAAAGAGCGUGUAGGCGGCCAAACAGGUCCGUUGUGAAAACUGGAGGCUCAACCUCCAGACGUCGACGGAAACCGUAUGGCUAGAGUCCGGAAGAGGAGAGUGGAAUUCCUGGUGUAGCGGUGAAAUGCGCAGAUAUCAGGAAGAACACCAACGGUGAAGGCAGCUCUCUGGGACGGUACUGACGCUGAGACGCGAAAGCGUGGGGAGCGAACAGG